rnacentral:rRNA from 1 species
UACGUAGGGUGCGAGCGUUGUCCGGAUUUACUGGGCGUAAAGGGCGCGUAGGCGGCAAAUUAAGUCAGCUGUGAAAUCUCCGAGCUUAACUCGGAACGGUCAGCUGAUACUGAUCUGCUAGAGUGCGGAAGGGGCAAUCGGAAUUCUUGGUGUAGCGGUGAAAUGCGUAGAUAUCAAGAGGAACACCUGAGGUGAAGACGGGUUGCUGGGCCGACACUGACGCUGAGUGCGCGAAAGCCAGGGGAGCAAACGGG